GUAGGAUGGGUCUGCGGCGUAUCAGGUUGUAGGGGGUGUAAAGGACCCCCUAGCCUUCGACGCGUACGGGUGUUGGGAGACAUAGCCCGGAGAUGGAUUCUGAGACACGAAUCCAGACCCUACGGGGUGCAGCAGGCGCGAAAACUUCACACUGCAGGAAACUGUGAUGAGGGAACUCCUAGUGCAUGCACUAUGUGUAUGUAGAUCCUACUCUUAACAAGUAGAGGGAAAGGGCUGGGAAAGACCGGUGCCAGCCGCCGCGGUAAUACCGGCAGCUCAAGUGGUCGUCGCUUUUAUUGGGCCUAAAACGUCCGUAGCCUGUUUGGUAAAUCUGUGGGUAAAUCAAUCCGCUCAACGGAUUGAAUUCUGCAGAGACUGCCAGACUAGGGACCGGGAGAGGUGUGGGGUACUCGAGGGGUAGGGGUAAAAUCCUGUCAUCCUUCGAGGACCACCAGUUGCGAAGGCGCCACACUGGAACGGAUCCGACGGUCAGGGACGAAGCCUAGGGGCACGAACCGAAUUAGAUACCCGGGUAGUCCUAGGUGUAAACGCUGUGAACUUGGUGUCGGGGGUCCGCAAGGGGUCCCCGGUGCCGGAGUGAAGAUGUUAAGUUCACUGCCUGGGGAGUACGGUCGCAAGGCUGAAACUUAAAGGAAUUGGCGGGGCAGCAC
rnacentral:rRNA from 1 species